CCAGAAGAAUCUUAUGGAUCGUGGAUCUUUACUGGGAAUACAAAUAGACUUUUCACAGCGACCAAAAAUUAAUUUGCGCGGAGCAGGCCUACAAGGAAGAAUUCCAGCGAAAAUAUGCAAAUCAAUAGACGCCUGAAGCAGCACACAUACACACACACACACAAACAAGUAUGCCUCACCGACACUAUUGACAUAUGAUUGACCGAAAAAAGAUUUAUUGAACUCGCUGCCACCACAAUACUUUGGCCACGACAAUCGAUAAUAUCAACGACACACCAAACAAACACACACGCACAUACAUACAGCAGAGACACUGUUCCUGUGUGGCAAAUUGUUUGCAAACGAUGACUAUUAAUCCAGGGAAAUGCACUUCCGCAAUCAAUGGCUGGCGUUGAAGCGUGUAGAAAACAUGGCUAUGCACGCACACACACAUGCACAUGCCCACCAAUACACACACAGACACGCGCCAAGCCACGCAAUCGAAAAGCAAUAUUUCUAAGGCUCGUUAGCGAGAGCUUACACGUACGUGUUGUUGUACUUGUAUGUGCCUAACAACAACAAUAAAUUUACGCGCGUUGGAGCCGCGAAUGCAGUUAACAACAAUCAGACAAUAACAAUAAUAACAACAACAAUGAAGGCAACAAUACAACAGUGUGUCAUUGAGACAGUCAGCGUUCGCGGCCAUUAGUUGCAGCAUAAGUCAAAAUGUUGUUGCCACACCACGUCUUACAGGCAACGCACCAGCAUAGAUACCUAUUGAGCUGUAUAGAUGUUUGUCGUUUGCAUUUAUAUACCUCUAAGUGUGUGGGAAACAGAAGGAUUACGGCUAAAGAGCGACAGCUCGACAUUUGUCGCAACCAGCCAGGCAGCAAGGCAGGCAGCAAAGAGUAAAUGUCGUCUGCAAUUGAACAUGACAUGUAGCAUGACUUCCAGUCAACCAAGACAAGCAGACAGUCGUUUGCGCCGUUAGGCGUGCCAACAACGCCUAACCUCCACAAAGGUAAUCGAAGUGAGGAGAGCUGAGCAGCUUUCAAGCCAGUCAAUACCAUAUUUUCUUUUAAUUUUGCUCCUCUAUAACACUUCACAGGUGAAAACCGCUCGACAAGACAAAUUAUAUUGCAGAUAGAUGAUCAACUGAUUGUUUGAUACAUUGCACAGCAGAAUAGUGCUGCCAGAUGGAAGAUUUUCGGGAAGUUAAUUAACAAGUCAGCAGAAAAAGUAUGCAGCAAAAGUUGAUAUUUUGCAUAAAAUAGGCUCUGGCUCUACUUAUCCCAUAUAAGCUUUACUUUUAAGUUUCCAUAUGCUUUCUUUAAGUUAAAAUACUAAUAUUAUAAAUAUAGAUACAUAAAUAAGUCAAGCUUUUAAUAAAAAAGAAACAUAAACAACUAAAAAUCAAAAUUUUAUAUUUAAUUUUAUUUCUUUAAUGAAUGUAAGUAGUGGACUUUAAAUAUACUUUUUUCGAAAUAUACUCAAACAAAAUUCGACCAGUGACCUUUAAUUUGGCACCACUCACUUCAUAAUAAAUAUUUUUCCUUAAGUCUGUGUUGAAUUUUUUCUUUUCGAAAUAACAUGGGUAUGCAUAACUUUUUUUAAAUUUUGUUCCACUGGAAUGUUGCACAAAGCGUUAAGCUUUCAUAUGACACCUCAUUCUUUAAGCUCCGUCCAUUAAUAACGAAGUUAUAGGCAAAAAUCGGCGUUGGAUUUUUAUUUUCAGAAUAUCAUGAUUAUGCAACAAUAUUUUUACAAAUUUUUUUAGCUUGAAUUUUCCGUCAAGCGUUAAGCUUUCAUAUGACACCUCACUCUUUAAGAUCGGUCCAUAAAUGACGAAGUUAUAAGCGAAAAAGCACCACCUUCCUGACUACUCACACGUACGCACCCAUACUUGCGCGCAACCAAAUUUGUCCGCAUGCAAUUUUGCCUGUUUCUGGCUACCAGCUACCAGGCCAACAGAACCGUGCAGUAGGUAGCGGCGGAAUGGUUUUUCGCUAAUAACUUUGUUAUUACUGGUCCGAUUUGAAAGAAUGAGGUGUCAUAUGAAAGCUUAUCGCUUGGCGCAGCUGAUGGGUUACCCUUCCUUGACAGGCAUCAACGAUUUCUUUGAGAUAUUUGGCUUGCAAAAAAAAAAUCGCCGGUUUUUUAAGAAAAAACGCAUAAAUUCUGCUAAAAAGUCCUUAUGAUGCAUAAAGCAGACUACCUUAAAUGUAUAUGAAGCCAUUCCAAAGAAAAAAUUUUAAGAAAAUUCAACUUUUACCUAUAUUUUUAAAGUUUAUUAAUCAAAAGUUAAAAAUACACUUUUUUCGAAAUCUACUGAACCAAUUCCGAAAAUUCGAUCACCGGAAUUUGCCCCUGGACUCGGGGCAUAAAUUCGAUGUACAUUUCGCAUACCCUAGGUGAGUCCAUCAUCGCAUAAAAUGCAUUUUUGUGGUAAAAAAAUGCACUCUGGGUUCAGAUCUCGAAUUUUCCGGGAUUACCGGAUUGCACCCUGAAAAAUUCAUCUUGCCAGGAUUGUAGCCCAUGCUCCGGGCCAC